AAGCGGGCAUAAAUCUUCAGAACAAUGGAGCGACGUGGGCGCAUUCCGGUGGCCAAGUUCCGCACCCAGGAAGCCAAGACACGCAGUCGGAGUCGCGUGAGGGAGCCGGACUACAACGAGCAGGACCCAGAGCACGAUAUGUUCACUUUGCUGGAGGAUAACAUUGCCCUUCGGGAGGAGAACAAGGCACUUAAGCUGGAGAUCGAGACCCAUAAAACCACGCAGGAGGAGCAGCAGGUUCAGCAUGAGAAGAUGUGCGCUGCACUGGAAUCACUGCAGCAGCAGCAGUCCAACUUCGAGACCCAGAUCAAGGAGCUGAGCUCCAAGUUCAACAAGGCUCUCAACGAACGAAACGCUUUAGACAAGCUGCACAAAAUGAAGGUCGAUCAAAUUCACAAUCUCACCAGCGAGCUGGAGCAUAUUCGCGAGAAGCAGCAGGAUCAAGCACCUCCAGUAGCUUCACGUGCGGUGCUCGGUUCCGUUGACCUCAAGCGAAAGCUCUUUAAGAUACUGCAGACGGGCAGCGCCGACAGUUCUGACAGUAUCGGAGCUCAGGAGCUGGACAGUCUGGUUGAUGUCAAUUCGGAAGGGGUGCCCAUCACCAGCGGCCUGGUGGAGCGACUGGCCGAUGAGUUUUUGACUCUCAAAAAUACCACCAAUUCUGUGGAGCUGCAGUUGUACGAGGCCAACGAAAAGAUGGCCGAACUAUUGGAGCAGCAACACGCAAUGGAGGAGGAAAACGAAGCGCUGCGUACGGAAAACAGUAACUUAACCAAAGUGGCCAAGCUGCUGACCGAAAACAUGAAGGAGAGCGUGGAAACUAGCCAAAAAAUGGAAGCUGCUCUCAUCAAGUUGAAGCAGCGCAAUGAUGAGCUCACUGCGAAGACUCGAGAUCUGACCGAUGGCCAGCCAGGAUCCAGGACCAGCACGUCGUCCAGCGUGCUAAACGAGCAGGUGGAGUUCGAGCAGAUCCAGGACCAGGUGCAGCAGCAGGCCAGAGAGCACAACGAGCGCAUUGUGGAAAUGCAAACACGCAGCGUGUUUGAUAUUUUCAAGCCGUUCUCGAACAUCUUUAAGAGCAACUGAAUCACAACAAGAUCAGCUGGUGGAGGUGAUUCCCCCACUGCACAUGUAUAACACGAUCUGAAAAAUGCAUGGAAUGCGGCCAGCUGGGCGUGUUAUUGUUCCCUAUUCUUGGUGCCGGGUCAACCUUUCUUCUUUCCUCUAUCAAAAUACCAGCCGAGACACGUCUUGACGCUCUGAUGCGUGAGUUUAAGUCGGGAGGCGUGACCCUGCGAAGGCGCAAUCGCCGCAAGACGGGCACCAGCGAGGCCCU
rnacentral:misc_RNA from 1 species